rfam:TPA: Bos taurus chromosome 8, whole genome shotgun sequence.
UCCCUGGUAGCUCAGCUGGUAAAGAAUCUGCCUGCAAUGCAUGAGACCCUGGUUCGAUUCCUGGGUUGGGAA